GACGAAGGCUGGCGGCGUGCUUAACACAUGCAAGUCGAACGGAAAGGCCCCAGCUUGCUGGGGUACUCGAGUGGCGAACGGGUGAGUAACACGUGGGUGAUCUGCCCUGCACUCUGGGAUAAGCCUGGGAAACUGGGUCUAAUACCGGAUAGGACCGUGCUUUAGUGUGUGCGGUGGAAAGUUUUUCGGUGCAGGAUGAGCCCGCGGCCUAUCAGCUUGUUGGUGGGGUAAUGGCCUACCAAGGCGGCGACGGGUAGCCGGCCUGAGAGGGUGUACGGCCACAUUGGGACUGAGACACGGCCCAGACUCCUACGGGAGGCAGCAGUGGGGAAUAUUGCACAAUGGGCGCAAGCCUGAUGCAGCGACGCCGCGUGGGGGAUGACGGCCUUCGGGUUGUAAACCCCUUUCGGCAGGGACGAAGCUUUUGUGACGGUACCUGCAUAAGAAGCACCGGCUAACUACGUG
rnacentral:rRNA from 1 species